rnacentral:lncRNA from 1 species
CUCUGCCCGCGCUGGGCCUGGGUUCGCUGGCGCUCCCGCCUGCCCUCUCGCUUCGCUAGUCUCCCCUGCCGAAGCGGGGUGGGUUCGGCCCGGCCUGGCCUGCUGUUCUGGGGCUGGCUGGAGUGGGAGCCUCUACCGUGCGGGACCCCGGUGGUGGUAACUAAGGCCGCGGGUGCGGGCGGAGGCCCUUAGAGGCUCGGCGGCCCUGCAGCUGACGGGUAGGAUCUCCUCUGCUGGAGCCGGGCAGCUCCACCCUCCUCGGCGCUCCCCGACCAGGCUCGCCGAGUUCGAGUGGCCUGGCCCGGGGCUGCUGGACUCCUUUGCUCUGCCACAGGCCUUGGCACCUGUCAGGUCAUUGCCAGGGCUGCAGAGGCGACACAACUGACAGCACCACAGGGCAGAGAAGUCUUGUAGACCGAGUUUUAUGAGAACUGAAAGCAUAUUACAAGAAAUCCCGACGAACUUCAGGGUCUAGAAAAUGUGAACUUCUAGUCUUGAGGGAAAAGGAGAAAUGCAAUUAACUUUAAACAAAGCUUACAGUGAGUUAGAAAGGUUUUCUAAAAAGGCUAUGUCUUUAUUGGGGGAUUUCUUUCACUCACUACACCGAGGAUUGGUUGUUUUUAGGUGGAGGUGAGGAUGGUGGUCUAAGUGUAAAAGGACCAGUGCAUCCAUAUAUUUCAUAUUCAUCAAUUUUCUGUACUUUUCACGUCUUCUUGUAGGCAUAUGAGAUUAUUGCCUUCUAUACUUUUAUGCUUUUAAAAAAACACCAGCAUGGUUGCAUUCAGUGGUCAAAAUGAAACCAAACCCCCCCUCCGCCUCCCCUCCCCCCCAAAUAUUGGUCUAAUUAGAACCAGCCACUGCACAUAUAUCCUCAAGUAACAUCUGUAACCCAGUUCCUUGGAGUAAAGUGAAAGUAUUCAAACAAGCCAGAGACAUCUGGAUAGUCAUUUAGCAACAGGUUGGCUGUUAGGGAAAAUUGGAACUACAAGAAUUUGGCAGUGUUUCUUUAAGUUGUUAAGAAAAAGAUUAGAGCUAAUUUUUGAGGUAUCGAAAGCUGAAUAUUGUGAAUCAGGUAACAACAAAGGGGAUGAACUUCUUUAAAAAUCAUUUUAACAGAAUAUUUAGGAUUCCAUGUAUACUGUAUUCCAUGUAUACAUUCUGGGAACUCUGAGUUUUUAGUUAUCUGGAAGCUAUGAUAGGAGAUUGGCACUGUUAAAGUGAUAACUAGCACUAAUACAAAUUUACAAACACUGCUUUCUGGAAAUUAAUGGUGUCUUGCUUGGAGAAAAUAUGGUAACGAGGAAGAAUAAAAUUGUGGGCAUUCUGUAUAAAAAUGGAUGUACAUGUGUUAUGACUUUCAUCAAAUAAAAUAUCUUUGCU